rnacentral:tRNA from 1 species
GUAGUUCAACGGAUAGAACAACCCCGUCCUAAGGGGUGGAUGUAGGUUCAAUUCCUACCGGGGCUACCA